rnacentral:SRP_RNA from 17 species
AAGAUAGUGAUGAAGACGAUGAGUCCGGGUUUGAGGAUGAUGUUCCCGAUUGGCUGAAAAAGGAGAGAGAAGCAGCAGGACAAAGUAAAGGAGGAGGGGUAUGGCGCAGAAAAGAGAGAAAGACAGCAGGAAGGAGUGACAGCAGAGGAG